GCACUAUUCCAAGUUGCAUGCAUUGACUCAUUUAAUCCUUAAGAAAACCCUAUGAGGUGGGUGCUAUCAUCACCCCAUUUUACAGAUGAUGAUACUGAGGCACAGAGAGGGUCAGGGGCAAGGGCGCAAUGCAGCUAGAAAAUGCUGCAGCCAGAAACAGCAAGCCAGGCAGGCAGUCUCCAGAGCCUCUGUGGUAACAGUCUGCCCUCCCCUGCAUGAGAACUUAGCGGGAAGUGGGGAAGGCACAUUGCCAGAAGGAGGUGGUGCCCUGCCCAAGUAUUGGAGCAUGACAAGAAGUCAGUAAAGCAGAGAAGACAGGGACAGAGAACUGAUGAGGACUUUCACCCAUCAAACUGUCACCAUCAGAAGUUUCAAACAGAGCUGCAAGUGCAAAGCAAAGAGGCAUGACAGGACGUGGGCAUUCCAGAAGAUGCAAAGGUUUUAUAAAAAUGCUGAUGGCGGAUUUGCUCCAGGCUACAUUGUACCGUCAACAUUUUCUCCUCAGCACAGGGGAGCCUCGGUGACUGGGGGCCAUGUUGCCUUUUCUUACCGUGUUCACUAUGCCAGAAGGAAAUGUGAAAAUCCUGAAGUGUUCCUUCAGAUGGCUGAGGGAAAAAUAUGUAAAUCGGUAAAGAGAGGAAAUUCUGCUGAUCUUGGACAAGGAGCCUUUGACAAUGUUGUGUGUGUGAGACUCUGCUGAGAAGAAGGCUGCGUUGAUGACUGACUUUUCAUUUUAAGUUGGGAUCUUUUCUGCCUCCCAGCACAGAUGGAAAACUUGGUGCGUUUCAAGGAAAUAGGAUUUAGAAAAUCAAAGGCUAAUACAUUUUAGAAAAUCUUGGAUUAUGGGACAGGGGGUGGCCUGUUCUCGCCAAACACUGCGAAUCUAACCUUGAUGUUUACGUAUUCAGUUUGAAGACUGAAGCGUCUCUUUUUAACAAUGGCAGUCAAUGGUUCUGGGUGAAAUAGGGGCUCAAAAGGCUGGUGCAUUGUCUGUUUUCUCCCAUCCUUAUAAGGCCCUAUGUGUCUCGCUGGUUUCAGCAAGACAUCCUCCCCCACACAUCCACCCCCAGAGAGACUUACUGACUCUGAGUGGCUCCAGAAUCUCAGAUUCACAUGGGCCAUCAGCUGUUGUGUGAAAUUCCAGACCUGCCCCUGACCAUCUCUUCCGGUAUCCGACAAGGACCCUCAAACCUGACCGUCCAAAAUGGAAUUGUGAUCUUACCCUCAGUCUGCACUCUUCUCAAAUUUCCCACCUCAGAGGGGGGCACCAUCAUCCAUGGAGGCCCCUUGCAAGGGAGCCUGGAGUCAUCCCACCUUCCCCGUCUCUCCCACCUGAUCGGUCCUUGAAAGUUGUCCCUUCUACCCGCCGCCUGUCUGUUGAAUAGGAUCAUUUCCCUCCUUCCCCACAGACAUUUGCCUCAUUCAGACUUUCAUUGCCUGUCACCUAGCCCACUGCCAUAGUCUCCUUGUUGCUCUCUGCUGUGGUCUGAAUGUGUGUGUCCCCCAAAAUCACAUGUUGAAAUCCUAAUGUCCAGUGUGAUAGUAUUAGGAGGUGGGACCUUUGGGAGGUGCUUGGCUCCUGAAGACGGAACCAUCGUGAAUGGGAUUGGUGCCCUUAGAAAAGAGGCCUCAGAGAACUUGCUAGCCCCUUUCCACUGUGUGAGUAGCAGCAAGAAGUCCACAGUUGGCAACCCGGAAGAGGGCCUUUGCCAGACCCCAACCAUCCUGGCACCUAGAUCGUGGACUUCCAGCCUCUAAAAUUGUGAGAAAUACAUGCCCAUUGUGAAUAAGCGGCCAGGUCUGCUGGUAUUCUGUUAUAGCAGUUCAAACAGAUUAAGGCAGUCCCUAUAUAAAUCUCACUCCCUCAGCUACAUCACAGGGAUCGCCUGCCAACCUGUGAGAGUGCUCUGACUGCAGGAGGGACAUCACCUUUGUCCCUCUCACCCUCUUGUCCAAUCAGGCUGCUCCCAGCCCCUGGCACUCAGUGCCCUCCAGGAGCUAGUUCCAGCCUCCUCCCCAGGCUUGUUCUGCUGCUCAAGCCCCACAUCCACCCACCCAUCGCAUAGCUGGUUAGUCCUCCAGGUACACCCCAUGCUAUUCCAUGCUUCACGCUGUUCCUUGACUUGGAGUGCUUUUCUGUCAUAGGCUACAAAUAGUUUCCUGUUCAGAGUCCUCCUUUCAGAAUAAAGCAGAAACCACCUUGGAUCUCA
rnacentral:lncRNA from 1 species